rnacentral:rRNA from 1 species
AGACGUCUACAUUAGAUACCCGGGUAGUCCCAGCCGUAAACUAUGCGCGUUAGGUGUAUCGGUGACCACGAGUUACCGAGGUGCCGAAGGGAAACCGUGAAACGUGCCGCCUGGGAAGUACGGUCGCAAGGCUGAAACUUAAGGAAUUGGCGGGGGAGCACAACAACGGGUGGAGCCUGCGGUUUAAUUGGACUCAACGCCGGACAACUCACCGGGAACGACAGCAAUAUGUAGGCCAGGCUGAAGACCUUGCCUGAAUCGCUG